rnacentral:rRNA from 1 species
CCUACGGGAGGCAGCAGUGAGGAAUAUUGGUCAAUGGCCGUAAGCCUGAACCAGCCAAGCCGCGUGAAGGAAGAAGGAUCUAUGGUUUGUAAACUCCUUUUAUAGGGGAGUAAAGGUAUCCACGUGUGGAUAUUUGCAUGUACCCUAUGAAUAAGCAUAGGCUAACUCCGUGCCAGCAGCCGCGGGAAUACGGAGGAUGCGAGCGUUAUCCGGAUUUAUUGGGUUUAAAGGGUGCGUAGGUUGUUUUUUAAGUCAGCGGUGAAAGGUGGUGGCUCAACCAUACCAUUGCCGUUGAUACUGGAAGGCUUGAGUGUGUGUGAGGUAGGCGGAAUGCGUGGUGUAGCGGUGAAAUGCGUAGAUAUCACGCAGAACACCGAUUGCGAAGGCAGCUUACUAGGCCAUAACUGACACUGAGGCACGAAAGCGUGGGGAGCAAACAGGAUUAGAUACCCGGGUAGUC